rnacentral:rRNA from 1 species
GACGGAGGGUGCUAGCGUUGUUCGGAAUGACUCGGCGUAAAGGGCGCGUAGGCGGCCGGUUGCGUCGGAUGUGAAAGCCCGGGGCUCAACCCCGGAACGGCAUCCGAUACGGGCUGGCUCGAGACCGAGAGAGGUGAGUGGAAUACCCAGUGUAGAGGUGAAAUUCGUAGAUAUUGGGUGGAACACCGGUGGCGAAAGCGGCUCACUGGCUCGGUUCUGACGCUGAGGCGCGAAAGCGUGGGGAGCAAACAGG